AUUGAACGCUGGCGGCAGGCCUAACACAUGCAAGUCGAGCGGAUGAAGGGAGCUUGCUCCUGGAUUCAGCGGCGGACGGGUGAGUAAUGCCUAGGAAUCUGCCUGGUAGUGGGGGAUAACGUCCGGAAACGGGCGCUAAUACCGCAUACGUCCUGAUGGAGAAAGUGGGGGAUCUUCGGACCUCACGCUAUCAGAUGAGCCUAGGUCGGAUUAGCUAGUUGGUGGGGUAAAGGCCUACCAAGGCGACGAUCCGUAACUGAUCUGAGAGGAUGAUCAGUCCCACUGGAACUGAGACACGGUCCAGGCUCCUACGGGAGGCAGCAGUGGGGAAUAUUGGACAAUGGGCGAAAGCCUGAUCCAGCCAUGCCGCGUGUGUGAAGAAGGUCUUCGGAUUGUAAAGCACUUUAAGUUGGGAGGAAGGGCAGUAAGUUAAUACCUGGCUGUUUUGACGUUACCAACAGAAUAAGCACCGGCUAACUUCGUG
rnacentral:rRNA from 1 species